GACGAACGCUGGCGGCGUGCCUAAUACAUGCAAGUAGAACGCUGAAGGAGGAGCUUGCUUCUCUGGAUGAGUUGCGAACGGGUGAGUAACGCGUAGGUAACCUGCCUAGUAGCGGGGGAUAACUAUUGGAAACGAUAGCUAAUACCGCAUAAUAGCAGUUGUUGCAUGACAACUGUUUGAAAGGUGCAAUUGCACCACUACCAGAUGGACCUGCGUUGUAUUAGCUAGUUGGUGGGGUAACGGCUCACCAAGGCGACGAUACAUAGCCGACCUGAGAGGGUGAUCGGCCACACUGGGACUGAGACACGGCCCAGACUCCUACGGGAGGCAGCAGUAGGGAAUCUUCGGCAAUGGACGGAAGUCUGACCGAGCAACGCCGCGUGAGUGAAGAAGGUUUUCGGAUCGUAAAGCUCUGUUGUAAGAGAAGAACGAGUGUGAGAGUGGAAAGUUCACACUGUGACGGUAUCUUACCAGAAAGGGACGGCUAACUACGUG
rnacentral:rRNA from 1 species